ACGCUUUGUGGUUCAACUGAUUUGAAGAGCUUGCUCAGAUAUGACGAUGGACAUUGCAAAGAGUGGCGAACGGGUGAGUAACACGUGGGAAACCUACCUCUUAGCAGGGGAUAACAUUUGGAAACAGAUGCUAAUACCGUAUAACAAUGACAACCGCAUGGUUGUUAUUUAAAAGAUGGUUCUGCUAUCACUAAGAGAUGGUCCCGCGGUGCAUUAGCUAGUUGGUAAGGUAAUGGCUUACCAAGGCGAUGAUGCAUAGCCGAGUUGAGAGACUGAUCGGCCACAAUGGGACUGAGACACGGCCCAUACUCCUACGGGAGGCAGCAGUAGGGAAUCUUCCACAAUGGGCGAAAGCCUGAUGGAGCAACGCCGCGUGUGUGAUGAAGGGUUUCGGCUCGUAAAACACUGUUGUAAGAGAAGAAUGACAUUGAGAGUAACUGUUCAAUGUGUGACGGUAUCUUACCAGAAAGGAACGGCUAAAUACGUGCCAGCAGCCGCGGUAAUACGUAUGUUCCAAGCGUUAUCCGGAUUUAUUGGGCGUAAAGCGAGCGCAGACGGUUAUUUAAGUCUGAAGUGAAAGCCCUCAGCUCAACUGAGGAAUUGCUUUGGAAACUGGAUGACUUGAGUGCAGUAGAGGAAAGUGGAACUCCAUGUGUAGCGGUGAAAUGCGUAGAUAUAUGGAAGAACACCAGUGGCGAAGGCGGCUUUCUGGACUGUAACUGACGUUGAGGCUCGAAAGUGUGGGUAGCAAACAGGAUUAGAUACCCUGGUAGUCCACACCGUAAACGAUGAGUGCUAGGUGUUUGAGGGUUUCCGCCCUUAAGUGCCGCAGCUAACGCAUUAAGCACUCCGCCUGGGGAGUACGACCGCAAGGUUGAAACUCAAAGGAAUUGACGGGGACCCGCACAAGCGGUGGAGCAUGUGGUUUAAUUCGAAGCAACGCGAAGAACCUUACCAGGUCUUGACAUCCCUUGACAACUCCAGAGAUGGAGCGUUCCCUUCGGGGACAAGGUGACAGGUGGUGCAUGGUUGUCGUCAGCUCGUGUCGUGAGAUGUUGGGUUAAGUCCCGCAACGAGCGCAACCCUUAUUACUAGUUGCCAGCAUUCAGUUGGGCACUCUAGUGAGACUGCCGGUGACAAACCGGAGGAAGGUGGGGAUGACGUCAAAUCAUCAUGCCCCUUAUGACCUGGGCUACACACGUGCUACAAUGGCGUAUACAACGAGUUGCCAACCCGCGAGGGUGAGCUAAUCUCUUAAAGUACGUCUCAGUUCGGAUUGUAGGCUGCAACUCGCCUACAUGAAGUCGGAAUCGCUAGUAAUCGCGGAUCAGCACGCCGCGGUGAAUACGUUCCCGGGUCUUGUACACACCGCCCGUCACACCAUGAGAGUUUGUAACACCCAAAGCCGGUGGGGUAACCU
rnacentral:rRNA from 2 species